rnacentral:rRNA from 1 species
AGCGAACGCUGGCGGCGUGCUUAACACAUGCAAGUCGAGUGCGCAGUUUCCUGUAGCAAUACAGGAAAUGGGCGCACGGCGCACGGGUGCGUAACACGUGGACAAUCUACCCUUUGAUGGGGAAUAACCCGCCGAAAGGCGGGCUAAUACCGCAUAACAUCCCAGUCGCUUCGGCGAUAGGGAUCAAAGCCCGCAAGGGCGUCAUUGGAGGAGUCCGCGGCCGAUUAGCUAGUUGGUGAGGUAAUGGCUCACCAAGGCUUGGAUCGGUAGCCGGUCUGAGAGGACGAUCGGCCACACUGGAACUGAGACACGGUCCAGACUCCUACGGGAGGCAGCAGUGGGGGAAUCUUGCGCAAUGGGCGAAAGCCUGACGCAGCGACGCCGCGUGGGGGAUGAAGCUUCUCGGAGUGUAAACCCCUUUCGACCCGGACGAAUGACCCGCAAGGGUUUGACGGUACGGGGAGAAGAAGCCCCGGCUAACUACGUGCCAGCAGCCGCGGUAAGACGUA